GGAUGSGAUMAUACCAGCACUAAAGCACCGGAUCCCAUCAGAACUCCGAAGUUAAGCGUGCUUGSGCGAGAGUAGUACUAGGAUGGGUGACCUCUUGGGAAGUCCUCGUGUUGCAUUGC
rnacentral:rRNA from 16 species